UCGCUUCCCAUCCCGUGUGUCAAUCUCUUUUUCCGCCACUUCUCUACUCUUCCUCCGCAUCCUCCCUUCGUCUCUCUCAGCAUCUAAUGCCAUAAUCGUCUCUCCCAUCUCCCCUCAUCUAUUGUCAUCUUCAUAGCCUCCACAUCAUCUCCCAUCUUUGUUUUUCUCUAUUUCCUCAUCUAUCAACAUUGUCGCCGCCGCCUCCUUCCUUGAUGAAGAGACGCUGACCAACUUAUGAUCCAUAAUAUUCAGAGACGGAGAAAACGAAAUAAAUGGGAAAAAACCUUAUCUUACCCAACAGAUGAACGUUAAUUUAUUCAUGUGAUGGUUGAAGCAAAGAGAUUGCUCGAUCAACAGGGCUGCAAGCACAUCCUUCAAUUUUUUGUUUUGUUAUUUUUAAAAUAAUUUUUAGGUUUUUCCCUUUUGUUUGUUCGUCUGUCUGAAUGUAAUUUCCCGGGUGGCCUUUAUGCUCUUAGUAAUGGUUCAUAUUCACUCUAUCGUUAUAAAUCAUUUCUUAUAAGUAAAACUUUUGGUUGA